AACCCCGCAGGCUUCAGAUUUACAUACCCUAGAAAGUGAGACCCGAAUCAGCCUCUCCAUUUCCAAACAACAAGCAGGGCAAACCAGACCUUGGAAGCACUGUGGAGAACUUGUAAGCUGAAAAACAAUAUUUUUAGAAGCUAUGUCUUUGGGGGUCAGAGUUCAGGUGCUUAUUAUUUAAUGAUGAUGUUCCCGUAUCAAGAUUUUUUCCUAGAGGAUGUAUGAAUUGUAAAGCAAAGUCCAGGACUAGAAAAGCUGAGUCAUAUUUUUGACCCUGAACUUGCAAAUGCGUAUGAAAGGCUUUGUGGAGACAGCAGGAGCAAAACAGAGUAAGGGUUUAUUUUGGUCACUGAAGUCAGCAGAUCGGACUCCACUGCAGACAGGAAGCAGGCUGCCAGUUUUACAUUGCCACUCUCCUGAGCAUCACUGCACUUUCCUGCAGGGAACAGCUGCGCCUCUGUCCGACUCUGCUGGGAGGCUCUAGGGAGGAGAUAGAUGUCAGUUCAGUCCUCGGAGGCUCUGCUGAGACUGCCAAGGAGGCCACUUGACACCAGUGAUGAGCAGCCACUUCAUGCAGAGCUAGACUGAGAAACCAACUUCACCACAGUAACUUUGGCUCGCCACAGACCUGGGGGUGAUCGGAACAAGCAAUAGCCCCAUCAUCAAGCCCCUCCUCAUCCAGACUGCAAGGCCAUUCUUACAACUCCGUGUGGCUCCCAAAGGUUUAAUUUGAACAGCAGAUCUAAAAUGGACACAAAAAGAAGAAUUUGACUGGCUGCUGAAAGUUCCAUCUGUGCAGUAUCCAGUGAAAAUGCACUGAAAAUUCGAGUCUUUAGUCAAUGGAUCUCUUCACUCACCAAAAGAUGUGCGAGUAGGAGAACCGUAUAUGUUGUGUACACAACAUGACUGAUGAAGGUUUAUUCUACUUAUGUUAUGGAUGAGUUGCAGUAACAGUCUGCAGACUACAUUGAAGUCUGGUUAGAGAGCUACAUUUAAGCCACAACCAA